rnacentral:rRNA from 1 species
AGAACGAACGCUGGCGGCAGGCUUAACACAUGCAAGUCGAGCGCCCCGCAAGGGGAGCGGCAGACGGGUGAGUAACGCGUGGGAACAUACCUUUCGGUUCGGAAUAGACCCGGGAAACUGGGAUUAAUACCGGAUACGUCCUUCGGAGAAGAUUAUCGCCGAAGAUUGGCCGCGUCUGAUUAGCUAGUUGGCGGUGUAAUGGACCACCAAGGCGACGAUCAGUAGCU